rnacentral:rRNA from 1 species
AGCUCCAAUAGCGUAUAUUAAAGUUGUUGCAGUUAAAAAGCUCGUAGUUGGAUUUCUGACUUUGACAUUCGGUCCAUUUGCUGUUUGGCAUUUGAGUACUUUGUGAUGUCGUAGUCAUUUUUUGUGAGAGAGAUUUGCUGCCAUUAAGUUGGUGGCUUUUCAAUCUUGCAUCUUUUACUGUGAAAAAAUUAGAGUGUUUAAAGCAGGCGUUUACCAAAUUUUUGAAUACAUUAGCAUGGAAUAAUAAGAUAUGACUUUGGUGGUCUAUUUUGUUGGUUUGCACACUAGAGUAAUGAUUAAUAGGGACAGUUGGGGGUAUUUAUAUUCCGUCGUCAGAGGUGAAAUUCUUGGAUCGGCGGAAGAUAAACUAAUGCGAAAGCAUUUACCAAGGAUGUUUUCAUUA